UGCAGCCCAGUAAAGACACGCCAGUCUGCCCGCUGGAAGGAUGCUCAGCGCGACCACGUGACCGAGAGAAGAAAAAAUGAAAGGCUGCUUCCUCUGGGCUGUCACAGUCGGAAGAAGUUCGGGUUGAUUGGACGUGUUCAAAGCCCGCCCCCAAGUGUUGAAUUAGCAGUGCUUGCUGGUUGGGCUUUGACUUUCUGCAGAGACAGAUGCAGAUUGCCAAAAAGAUGACACAUUUUUAUCAGUAAAAAUAUAAUCUAAGAGCCUGAAAACAAAGGAGCUAAAUCCAGCAUUAGACUGUGCUGCCUGGACUCUCACACAGAAUCGAUGGAGAAAUGAAGCCUGCUACCAAACAGCUCACCGUUUUGAUAAAUUAUUGUGCACAAUCUGUCAUGGAAAACCCAACGUCCAGGCUCAGACAACAGGAACCAGUCUGCUUGUGUGAAUGCAGCCUGGGUGCUGUACUGUAACGUCUCAGAGUCCUGUCCUUCAGCAGGACUGUUGGUUUCUGUCAGUGAACACAGAUUAUUGAGAGCGUUAU